AACGAACGCUGGCGGCAUGCCUAACACAUGCAAGUCGAACGAGACCUUCGGGUCUAGUGGCGCACGGGUGCGUAACGCGUGGGAACCUGCCCUUAGGCUCGGAAUAACUCCCUGAAAGGGGUGCUAAUACCGGAUAAUGUCUUCUGACCAAAGAUUUAUCGACUUUGGAUGGGCCCGCGUUGGAUUAGCUAGUUGGUAGGGUAAAAGCCUACCAAGGCGACGAUCCAUAGCUGGUCUGAGAGGAUGAUCAGCCACACUGAGGCUGGGACACGGCCCAGACUCCUACGGGAAGGAGCAGUGGGGAAUAUUGGACAAUGGGCGGAAGCCUGAUCCAGCAAUGCCGCGUAAGUGAUGAAGGCCUUAGGGUUGUAAAGCUCUUUUACCCGGGAUGAUAAUGACGGUACCGAGAGAAUAAGCUCCGGCUAACUCCGUG
rnacentral:rRNA from 1 species